GACGAACGCUGGCGGCGUGCUUAACACAUGCAAGUCGAACGCUGAAGCUCAGCUUUUGUUGGGUGGAUGAGUGGCGAACGGGUGAGUAACACGUGAGUAACCUGCCUCCUUCUUUGGGAUAACGCCCGGAAACGGGUGCUAAUACUGGAUAUUCACUGGUCUUCGCAUGGGGGUUGGUGGAAAGGGUCUUUCUGGUGGGGGAUGGGCUCGCGGCCUAUCGGCUUGUUGGUGGGGUGAUGGCCUACCAAGGCUUUGACGGGUAGCCGGCCUGAGUGGGUGACCGGUCACAGUGGGACUGAGAUGCGGCCCAGACUCGUACGGGAGGCAGCAGUGGGGAAUAUUGCACAAUGGGCGCAAGCCUGAUGCAGCGACGCCGCGUGAGGGAUGGAGGCCGUCGGGUUGUGAACCUCUUUCGCUCAUGGUCAAGCCGAAACAAUGGUUGUGGUGAGGGUAGUGGGUAAAGAAGCGCCGGCUAACUACGUG
rnacentral:rRNA from 1 species